rnacentral:rRNA from 1 species
UACGGGGGGGGCGAGCGUUGUUCGGAAUUACUGGGCGUAAAGGGUUUGUAGGUGGUCUGCUAAGUCAGACGUGAAAUCCCUCAGCUUAACUGGGGAACUGCGUCUGAUACUGGCGGACUUGAGGACAGGAGAGGAACGCGGAAUUCCAGGUGUAGCGGUGAAAUGCGUAGAUAUCAGGAGGAACACCGGUGGCGAAGGCGGGUCUCUGGGCCGUAACUGACGCUGAGGAGCGAAAGCGUGGGGAGCGAACAGG